CGCACGCAGCCAUAUCCCAAAAGGAGGUACGGAGUAGAAGAAACAAGAUGAGUCUUUGCAUUUCCAUGCAUGCCGCCGAACUGCCGAAGCAUCAGCUCAUUUACGUGCAACUAGGCAAGAUCGCAGAUGCUAACAAGUACCGACACACCUCAGAUUUCCAAUAAAUGACGAGCGAGAGAGAGAGAAAGCAUAAAGCCCGGGGUUAAGUGCUGUGAGUGACAGCGGCGCUGAAUUUGGCAGCGCUAGAGGGUCAAGGUCGCUGCCCGUUAAAGGCAAACUACGCGCCUAGGCGAACGGGCGCCGUAGAGAGCAAAAUGUUCUCCCACCCUAGGUUGGCCGCGGAUCAGAUCGGCCGCCGCGGCGACGACGAAGGCGACGGCGACACGCGGCCACGGGGAAUCCGGAUUCCUGCCUAGAACAAAAAGGAGAGCAAAAGGAAGAGGAUUAUAUUCCCUUAUCUCGUAAGCCUCGAGUUAGUGUGCUCGUGAUUCUGAUUAGCAGAAAAGAGACAUGGAAACAGGGGGGCCAAGAACACGAGAAAUUCCCGCGGGAUCUCGUGCCGUAUAGCUUAAUCGGAUGAUGUUGACACGCUCCUCCCUUUCCUUUGAUCACACCCUCAGGGAUUAAGUCCAUGGAGAGGAGAAUUACGUAUGCCGGCUGCUGUAAUUCCUAGUAGUGAUUCACACUAAAACAAGUGGGAGGUGAUGAAUCAGGGGACCAUACCUAACGACAUCCGCAGCUUGUGAUAAAGAAAUGGGAAUUCAGAAAUAUUCCCUUGAGAAAUGUUCCUUGUGAGAAAUAAAUGAGGCCACGUUGCAGUGUGAGCAUCUAGUGCUUUUGUUAUUAACGAUUCCUGCAAAUUUCAUGUGUUUCAGACAGCAUUGCUCAUUAGGGAUGAAAUACUUCACAUCAUCCUGAUUACUUCUGCAUCAGCUAAAACUUUACCUCAGACCACGUGUCAAAAAAAAAAAGCUUUACCUCAAACCGACAUGGUUCUGAGUCUUACUGAGAUAUGUGAAACAGUAAUGUUUUCCAAGACAUGUAGCAUAUCGUAAAAUUACCAUGUAUACAAUAGGUUUGAAAUGCACAUAGGAUGAUCUUUUUUUAGAACCAUUCACAUAGCAUGUUCUGACAAGAAUGCCUCUUAUAUAUGGGGUUCCAAUGGCAAGUUCACUAAUCACUCCUGCAAAAUAAUUUCAUAAUGCUUAGGUAUUACAGUACCUUCUGAACAGAUGGAUUUUGAACCACUGUAUUCAGGAGACUUUUUUUUAUAACCACUGUAUUCAUGAGACUCAUUUACCUAACCAUCCAUGAAAGGAACCUGAAACAAAAUCGACUAAACAAUAUUUGUGCAAAAUUUCGCAUGCUGUUCCCAGUAGCUGAUAAACAGUGUUAACCUUUGGGUAAAGACAACUGUUGAUAUUUCAUUCGUGCAGCCUAGAUUUCAGAAUAUAUUCUUUUAAUAUUUUUUUGCGGAUGCUUCACGUUUCAUAGGAAGAGCAUACACAAUUAUAAGAAAUAUAUACUAAAUAAGAAUAUGCAGGCCUCAAAGCCCUAUGAUCUCUAGCAAGGAGCAAAGUUUAUGUAUAAAACCUUGUAUCUAUGACAAAACUUCAUAGCCCCUAUGCAGCCUCUUUCUCUCGAGCGAAGUAGCGACAAAAAACACACUUAGCCCACAUAAUUUAGCCUGAGCUGUCCCCCCACAUGUUAACCCCAGUGGAUAGAAAAAUGCAGAGCUAGUGCAUAUGAUUCCUUAAGUAUGUAGUGCAAUGACACAAGAAAAAAAUUAGGUGAAAAUCCUUUGGAUUAUUCUGCUAUCACAAGCUCUUAGGGGUUAGUUUAGAUUUGACUUAGGCCUUUCUUUAAUCCCUUUUAAUAUGCAUCGUCGAGAGGGGAUCGAAGCCUACCACUAUUCGGAAUUCUGAAAUCUACCCUGCACCAUUGGGAAAAGUGGAAUCCCUUUUUUGGCAAGCAGAACGCAAGAAUAGCAGAGUUUGUUAUGAAAAGCUCACCUCAAAGGGGGAAAAAGGAUGCUGCUGAGGAAUAUUUCUGCCCAUGUCGAUGUAAACAUGACGAGAUUUAUAACAGAGAUAUAAGUACCACAAACUAAAAGCAGCAAAAGUUUCUUCGAGACGGUUCCUUCAGUUUCUCUCAAUGCACAGUUUUACAGGAAAGUGUUACUGUCCGUUAUCGCUGACCUGCACUACAAGUCUACAUGCUCAUGUUGAGCAGUUCAGUUUGCUGUAGGGCAGUAUCAAUACCUUCAUGAACAAUGCCUCUAUGUUUAUGGUGCAUCUGGACCUGCAAUUUUACCAAGUUGGGCUGAUAUCUGUGUGUCAUUGUGGACACCUAACAGAUAUAUCUGGAAUCUUUCUUUGCUGCAGUCUGCAGAAUUCUCCACUGUAUCUGCCUAGCGAAUGAAACAGUAGCACUUGCCAUACAGAGCUCUGAAGUUUCAGUUUCCUGUUGAAUGGCAUCUUAAACUGUUCCGAAAGUCGAUAAUUCAUUCAUAGUUUUUGGAAAAUGCUUUUCAACUAAGUAUUCCCAUGGUUCAAAAACAAAAACUCCUGCAAGACAAGGUCCUGACUGUUUUUCCCCUGUUCUGCUAAAUACAGGCUGUUUUUUUCAGAAGAAUACUUCUAUGCUUAGUUUUAGAUCAAAAUAGUUAUAUGCUUAUUGUCAUUCGAAUCAAAAGAGUUUCAGUUCUGUGCCAACUUGUCUGAAAUUUAAUGUAAGUACUCUAUUCUUGGAGUUACGGUUCAGUGUCAAACUGCGUCUUAAAUUCUACCGGGAAUACUGAUAGAGUUUCAGUUUGGUGUUGAACUGCCCCUUAAGCUGCAAGGAGAAUACUGGUAUACUACAUGUUUAAAGAGAAUGUUGCGCUAUCAUUUUUCAUGUUCUCAGAUCAAAUAAUCCUUACCUGCUAUCAUCUCAAAGGUAACGGGCCACCACCAGCAAUUGGAAUCUUUAUAGGGUGAAGGUACUGUUAGAGUUUCAGUUCCUUUUCAAAUCACAUCUUAAUUUUUUACUGUCAAGAGUUUCAGCGUGGUGUGGUGUAGGGUAUAUCCUUAGGGCCUAUUAGGAUGAUAGGUAUUUCUGCAAAAAGUUGAAGCAUACUGAAAAUACAAAAGUUCAAUCUCAGAGUUUAAUCGCAGUGUUACAAUAGUAUGAAAAACGACAAGCCACUAAUAGGUGCCAAAUGUUUUGCUUUUUCCUGCUAAAUAUGGGUGUCUCUCAGAAGAACUUUCCCUUAGCACUGAGACAAUGAGAACUUGUUUCUUUAUUUUAUUUUUAUUUUCUAUAGAGAAAGAAAAAAACGAUAGUUAUGCUUAUUCCUUGUCAUUUCGAUAUAAGGUUAUAAAUAAUCGUAAGAGCUGUGAUGCCGAAUUAGUGGGCAUUGGCACCUUAUCAAGCUCACUCUGAUGAAAAAAAAUUGGUUAGGAAUUGGCUAAAAGGGUCCUAAGUAAUAUUUCUAUAUCUGGGUUCGCUCUCCACUGACACUGAUGCAUAUAUUCUCCUGUGUCCAGGGGAAGAAGGAGGACCGUUUAUGAUUCAUCCCAAGUUAGGAUGCAUAAUUCUGAACUCGAUUAUAGUGUAAUGCCUGUGUAUUAUGGAGUAACCAUGGCUUAUAAAUUAAUGUUAUCUACCAUUUCCAUUCAUGUACAUUAAUAUAAAAAAGCACUGAGUUAAGAUAUAAUAAUUUGAUUGGAGCCGUUCAAAA